GGGGUUGUGGCUCAGUGUAGAGCACUUACCUAGCAUGUGAGAGGCACUGGGUUCAAUUCUCAGCACCG
rnacentral:tRNA from 1 species